GAAUCCUAUCAGUCACCACCAUCACCCACCCACGGCGGAUGUGGACUACCCUCACCAUGUCUGUUUUUUGGGGAUGACGUGUGUAUGAUGCGUGCAGUGACAUUGUCGCGUGCAUUCUGUUUUUGGCAUCCUGCUGUUUUUAUCUUGGUCUUUGUCUUGGUGUGUGUGUGUGGGCGGGUGUAUCUUGGCAUGUGCCUUGAUGGGAGUUUCUUGGCGUGUGUGUGUGUGUGUCUUUGUGUGUGUGUGUCGUCUUGAUGUGUAUCUUGGUGGUUGCCUUGAUGUGUAUCUUGGUGUGUGUCUUAGUGUGUGUCUUGGUGUGUAUCUUGAUGUGUAUCUUGGUGGGUGCCUUGAUGUGUAUCUUGGUGUGUGUCUUGCUGUGCUCUCUGACCUGUGGCCAGGGGUCUCUUAUGCCUCAGGUUCUGGGUCUGGACCAGCUUCUCAGCCAGGAGGAAGAUGGGUCUCUGGAUCACCGCCAUCUUGUUUCCCAGGUCCAGCUGUAGCUGGGAGAAAGAGAAGAAAUAACCACAGCCACCCGACUCAAACUUUGUGCCGACCGUUUCUGCUGAGCCCCGACAGCGUGGGCAAGAGGUUCCUCUCCGCGUCAGACGCCAGAUGCAGCAAAUCCGUCAUCUCAUCAAUAGAGAAAUCAGCUGAUAAAAAUCUCCUUCUGCACUAAACGUAAAACACCACCCUGUGACACAAAAUUCUGCUGUAAAGGGUUCAGCUUGGAAAGCCUUUGUGACCAGCCUAACAAGUAAGUGGCGGGGGUGGUGGUUGCUAUAACAAUUUCACAAUACAAGGUGAGCCCCCCCCCCCCCCUCCACACACACACACACACACACACAUGGCACGAGGCCGUCCCUUGGGCUGGUGUUGAUUACUGAUUGUCACAAGAGAAUGAAAAUCUCUAGGAAGGCAGAGGUAAGGUUGAUCAGCGCCUUGCGAAAUACGAGGCACGCGAGGUCGCGUGUUCCUGUGAGUCAUCCCAGCACAUCAGUGUAUAUCUCAGAGAUUGAUAAACAUUGAUGCCAUAAUAUCCAUCCUCGAGUAGUCAGUGUUACAGGCCAGUACACCUUCAGUCAAAAUAGGCACCUUUAAUUUGAUAUUGUUUCUACACACAAUUUUGUUUCCAAGCUUGCUCUUCUGCAUCUUAAUGUGGCCUUACCAUUUCCUAAGAGCACUUUGGUAUCUUUGUGGACUCUGAAUUAUUUGAAUAUGUUUUCUAAUAGUUUUAUUUGAGUAUUUUAUUUAUAGAAUUAAAUUAGAAAUACACUGUGCUCAACAUCACAGUGUUACUGUCUGGCUGAUAGACUGUUUCCACAUCCUGCAGUACAGUACUGAAACCCUAUUUCAGUAUUAGAGAGGAAGACAAACCACUUGCUUAUAAAUGAAACUUACAAAGGGAAACAGACUUGAUCCCUAAGACCACCAAAUCUUCGGAGACGACUUGCUGGUUGUUUCUCUAUCUCUUUUUCAGUCAAGUCAAUUCAAUGUAUUUUUAUUGCCCUUAAUUUUAGUGACAGCCUGGGAUAAGAGUGUGAGGGGUGCCAUCUUUGACCUACAUUGUAGACAUAGUCGCAUGACAACCAAGCUUUUGAAGUGCAAUUUCCUCUCUUCCUCUUUCCUCUUAACCACAGGUCAUUAUGUCUUUAAGCACGCCUUUAGCCUUGUUUUUGCUCUUUUUUUUAGUUUCUGUCUAUUUCCUGGAAGAUGGAGAAAUGGAAUAAAUUCUGGACUUUCCAGAUCGAUUAGUGAUUCCCUGGAAAAAAUACACAAUUAUUAUGGCAACCGUUCAUUUCGGGAAUUUUUUGCCAUUUCUAUUCUGAAAGCCGACAGCACAACAAGACCGUUUGUCCAGGUAGCUGACUAAUAUGGUGACCAGAUUUCCUGAAACUAAAGUACUUUCCGUGUGACUGUAGUGCAGUUAGGUGAGGUCAGUGACGCAGAUAAUAGGCUCAAUUUCAACACGUAGGACCAGUGGCGGCUGGUGAUGACAUUUGUGGUUGGGGGACGGGGGGGGUUUGGGGGUCCUCCCCCCGAAGAAAUUGAUUUGUUCGAUGUGAUUUCCUGUAUUCUGGUGCAUUUUGGGGAUGGCCACUAUAAAAAUGAGUUCAGUUUGAUUUGCAGAGUCUGGACAAGCUUACCCUGCAUGACCUACUUUAUGUCAUUCCACCAACCAUUGUUAUCUGUCCUAUGGGUGUUAUUCUGAUAUUGAGGCAAAUCAUCUAAUGCUCACAACAAUGGUAAUGGGGGGAAAAAAUCAUAUAUGUUUUUUGUAGGCUUAGAUAUACAUUUGAGAGAAAAUAUGAUAAGACAUUGAAUGAGUGUCUUGUGGGACUAUCUAUAUUUUUAUGAAUUAGCCUGAAGCUUCAAAAAACAAAACAAAAC